rnacentral:ribozyme from 1 species
GCUGCUCAAGUGUGCUACCUCUCCGUGGUGAGUAGCAGGCAACGAGGGAUACCCUCGGCUAAAAGCAUAA